GACAGAGGGGGCAAGCGUUGUCCGGAUUGACUGGGCGUACAGCGCGCGCAGACGGAGUAUUACGUGCUUUGUGACAUCUCCGAGCUUAACUGGGAGGCGCCAAGGUACACGGAUAGUCUGAGUGGUUGAGAGGGAUGUGGAAUACCCGGUGGAGCGGUGAAAUGCGUAGAGAUCGGAAAGAACACCAACGGCGAAGGCACUCUGCUGGCCGACACUGACACUGGAGAGACGAAAGCUAGGGAGCGAAUGGG
rnacentral:rRNA from 1 species